GGGUGUAGCUCAGUUGGUUAGAGUACUUGCUUGACAUGCAAGGGGUCGAUGGUUCAAAUCCAUUCAUCCUC
rnacentral:tRNA from 1 species